CGCGGCCUAUCAGCUUGUUGGUGGGGUAACGGCCCACCAAGGCAUCGACGGGUAGCUGGUCUGAGAGGACGAUCAGCCACACUGGGACUGAGGCACGGCCCAGACUCCUACGGGAGGCAGCAGUGGGGAAUAUUGCGCAAUGGGCGAAAGCCUGACGCAGCAACGCCGCGUGGGGGAUGACGGCCUUCGGGUUGUAAACCCCUUUCAGCAGGGACGAAAAUGACGGUACCUGCAGAAGAAGCCCCGGCCAACUACGUGCCAGCAGCCGCGGUAACACGUAGGGGGCGAGCGUUGUCCGGAUUUAUUGGGCGUAAAGAGCUCGUAGGCGGUUGCGUAAGUCGGAUGUGAAAACUCAGGGCUCAACCCGGAGACGCCAUCCGAUACUGCGCUGACUAGAGUCCGGUAGGGGAGCAUGGAAUUCCUGGUGUAGCGGUGAAAUGCGCAGAUAUCAGGAGGAACACCAGUGGCGAAGGCGGUGCUCUGGGCCGGUACUGACGCUGAGGAGCGAAAGCGUGGGUAGCGAACAGGAUUAGAUACCCUGGUAGUCCACGCCGUAAACGUUGGGCACUAGGUGUGGGGCCUACUUAACGGGUUCCGUGCCGUAGCUAACGCAUUAAGUGCCCCGCCUGGGGAGUACGG
rnacentral:rRNA from 1 species